ensembl:lncRNA
CUUUUUCUGAGCAGGGCGAUCCAUCUGUGUAAUUAAUCUAUACCCCUCUCCUGCCCAGACCCAGCUAGCACAGCCCUGCCUGCUGCUAAUCAUUGUAGUUUGAAAGAUGGCAACAAAGGCCUUCCAUUCUGAUUUUCAACCCCAAGGCAUGUACCCACGGAGCUCCUGUUGUUCUUGGCCUUCCUGCAAGUGUGCUGUUAAUUAAACUCUGCAAAUUGUUAUUUCCAGACAAAGGGUGCCAAGGGCAGGGCAGGCACGAUUUGCCUAUCAUCCAUCAGCUUUUGAUAUGCAGGCAUACUUUCUGGGACAGUGAGUCAUGGGUCCCUGGCCCUGGCAGGGAGCUUGCUGAAGAUCCCUCCAUAGCAUCUGGGGAGAGGGGUGGAGCCUGAUGUCUGGGAAGAUGAAUUGCAAACUGGACUGCUGGGGUAUGAAUUCCAUGUCUACCCUGAGAGAGUUCCUGCAAUGGUGGAAGAGCCUCCUCACUGCCCAGGGCCUCACUCUCCCCAUCUAGAGAAUGGUGAUAACGACUCUGAAAUUAGAUGUUAAGGUUUACUCAAAAUCUAGCUUUGCCAAAGGUCCGGCUCUUAGGAACUCCUCUCAGACUGUCUCAUCCAUGCUAUGAAAAUCCCUAUAUUGAUUUGUGCUUCUGGUUUCUGUGUAGCUGCCCGGGAUACAUUGCCCUCUUUCCUUCACUCCAGCAGUGUGCAUUUGCUUUCUGGAAUGUUUAUUGAUCUGUUCGUCCCUGUUAUCUAUCAGAGAGUGCUCAGCAUCACUUCUCAGGGUGUUCACAGCUCUUCUGAGAAGGGGAUGCAAUGUGAGAACAAUGAAGACCCUUCUUGUCACAUCACCUUACACUUUCCAAUUCUUGGGAAAUAAGGCAUGUUAUUUUGCCUUAAGGCUGUACCUGGUGCUGGUUUUACAUGGUUACAGCUGGGAAGUGUUGGUGAUGGGGCUCGGGAGGUGGCAGCAGGUGCCUCCUUCAACGCAUGGAUCUGUUGAUAUGAAAAUCUCCCUUCUGACACUGCCACCACCUCAACAUCAUGUCUGUCAGUUUUUCAAAGGCCUCUGCUGAUGGUGUCUAGACUCUUCUCGGCCAAUAAGAAUUCAAAAGUGGUCUGAAAUAACUUGAGCAAAUAUUGCAAGAUGUUCUGCAUUUAUGGAGAUCUAGCAAACAGUAAAUAUCAUUAAAAUUAACUGCGCCAAACAAACAGACUCUCGCUAUUUAAAUUGAAUUGUCAGCUUUGCAUAAUAAAAGGUUAAAAUUAUGCGUUGCACCAAGAAUAAAUUCGCCCUGAUUAUUUGGUUCACAAGUUAAAAGGCUUGGAGGCCCCCACUUUCUAAUAUGCUUUCUACUAUUAUAUCUAAGCCAUGGUUUUAAAAUGUUUUUAAAUCCAGAGCCUCAAUCACGCAACCAUCCUGGUGUAUGCCCACAUUUCUUUAAAGCAAGAAACAGAAAUUUGUCAUCUCUCGUGACCUCUGCAUCACCGAAGCAUGCAAUAUGUUUGCCAUAGCUUGGUUUCCUGGUGGCAAUAGCUGAUCCAUGUUAGGAUUGUCAAAGCUUCUAUCUCUAGCAUUCAUGUGUACCACUAUAUGCCUACAGUUUCCCUCUCUUCAUUUUGGAUGGUUCUCCUAGACAGAACAGCGAAAGUUGCUCUGCUUCUCUUUUCCCCUCCAACAGACCUCUGAGGAAUGGUAGCUGGAAAAAGCAAAGGAGGACAGGCUGUGUGUCACUCGUCUUUGUUGGGUCUACACAGAGUGCGCCCAGCUUCUCAGACCUCCUGUCUCAACAGGUCUCUAUUUCUUCCUGCUUCUCUCUCUUUCUUUCCUCCCCAUCCCCCACUUGCUAGCGCCUUUCCCAGUCCGUGUUCCCAACAUUCCAGAGGCUAAGGCAGGAAAACCCUGAGUUCUAGGCCACUGUAGGCUUUAUAGCACAUUGGAAAGUCAGAAGAAAGAGGCCCAGGAGUUCGGGGACAACUAGGUUGAACUGUGUUAAGGAAUACUGGGUUAUUGUGUUUUAGCUAGGCGUGGCAGCACCUCCAAGUCAUCUUGGUUUACGGAAGCUCAAGGCAAAAGGUUCAUGAAUUCAAGACUAGUGUGGGUUACAUGGUGAGACUCUCAAUGCAACAGCACCAGAGAUCUGCAGCCCAUCUAGAGAGGUUACAGGCUCUAUUUCCUCAUUAGUGGAGAUCUGCUCUGUGAAAUGAGUUGGACCCAAUACAGUCCAAGCAAAAAGCAAUUAUUAUUAUUUUUUUCUGUGCUAAGUCCAAUGCUGCCUCUUGGCUCCUGGAUGAAUUCCCAGGCAGGCCCUACAAAAUUAACAAAUAGCCUCAUUUAUCACAUAAUAAAAAUGUCCAGUUCGAUCCCAAACUCAGAUUCAUCAUACAAUUUAAACCCCGUCUGUCCUAAAGCAUUGGGCCCAAUCCAAGCCAUGGAGCCAGUGAUGGGGUAGGCAUAGUUGGCAUCACCCCAACUUCACUGCACCCCUACCCCAUUCUGGAACUGGAAAAGGGUGAGGAUAAAAAAGGGAACACAAAAGAAGGUACAUACUAGAAUGUCCUGUCGGUUGGUGAGGGUCUGAUUCUUGCUUGUGCACAAUACUUUUGUGGACUCCAGGGGUGCCCUAUGCCAGGUGCCUUCAUCUUUGCUGUGCUCCUGACAAUCACACUCUUUCCUGGGGCUUUGCAAAUAGAAGGCAGGUGCCAGUCCACACCCCCCCCAACACACACAUAAAGCUCUCUGAGUGGUCUCUGAAGCCUUCUGCCCUUGCUUGAAAUGAGCAGAAACCAAACUUUCCAUCCCCUUCCUCUAUGGGAGAGUAGUGAGAACUCGAAGUGGCAACACCCUGCUUUUGUCAGCUUCUUUAACUAACCCUCGUCAAGCUGCUUCCCCUGGUAAUAAAUUUGCAUGCUCCUCUGUUCCUCUCUUGAGAUGGGUGGCAGAAAAGGGCCUGGCCACCUGCAGCCAGCCCUACAAGGUGCUGUGUCACUUCCUUUUGAGUGUUUCCCAGCUUUUCAUCUAAAACCUCAUCUAAACUUUGCAGGGAGAAUGGUGAUUGUACUAUACCUUCACUCUUAUUACUUAGGGAGCUGCCAGGGAAGUCACACAAUGUCGGAGCGUCCUUUUUAGUUGGAGAGCAACUCUAAAUAUGUUAUGAUUUUUACUCACAAGUGUGUUCCUCAGGAGAGAAAUGCUGGUGGAGUGAGGGUGAGUGCUCUGGAUUUACGUGAGAACUCAGGGGAAGCCCGGGGGGCAUGUUCAGAUGUCAUCCCUGGGCUUUAGGAAAGAUGGUUUCUUAAAGGUCUAGGCAAGUUCUCUCUUCUCUUAAUGUUCAGAGACCAGCUCUGCAGUCCCUUAAAAUGCCCCAGAUUCAUAUGUUCUCACCCCCUUGGUGCUAGUGACUUGAACACCCCUUUCUUUCAUUCAUUAUGGCUUCUGCAUCAAGAACAUUCUGGCAUUGAUAUGAGGUAAGGAAUAUCUUGGAGUGAGGAGAACAGUCUUCCUACCAUCAGCUCAUGACCAAGGGUGAGUCCGACUGCUCCCCCAGCCUCCAUCACUGCUUCCUCCUCUACUGGCAGAAGGGCUGGACCUGCAGUUGAAGUGUCUCACAUACAGAGAAGCAGGCAGAAUAAAUGGCUCUUCUGUGUUCUGGGCUUUUCAGGGCUCUAGUUUGGGGUACUGGGGUGGGACUGAGAGCCUCCUGAGGAUGUUAACUGUACUUUGGGUUUGUAGAUGUGUUGCUGGAACCAUCAGCUGCCUCAAAUAAACUCCUGUCUUUUUGUUGUUUUGCAGCAGUGCCACCUAUAGCCUGGAACUCAUUAUGUAGCUGAGGAUGGCCUUGAACUUCUGAACUUCCUGCCUUUACCCCCAGAGUACUAGAAUUACAGGUUUGAGCCUGGAUUAUGCUGUGCUGGGGUCAAGCCCAGGACUUAACUCCAUGCUAGGCAAGUACUUGACCACUGGAACUAUAUUCCCAGCCCCAAGUCCUGCUUUUAUACAAACUUUGACUCCUGGAGGUGGUCUGUGUGCUCAGCAUUGUAUAAACGAAAGGGUCUAAUUAAUACCUAAGAUUUAAUUAUUAUAAAAAUCACUUUGAAAACUAUGUUCCUUUUCUGAGAAGUUUUGUUUGCAAGAGACGAAGGGAAGGAAAACAAUGUGUGUGUAUAGGUUGAGCACUGAGCCAGAUAGCUAAGGCUAAACAGUGAAAAGAGUAUCUGUGUUAACAACCAAACGAUUUUUGUCUGUUUUGUUUAGCAAUACUUUUUGAAAAAGCUAGUAUUUUGAGACUAUCUUAAAAUGUGUUUUGUUCAUGAUCAUCCUCCCCAACUUCUCCAACAUCAAUUCUCACUUCUCUAUCUUUUUUUAAGCCAUCAAGUCCAAUUUGUGCUGCCCAAAUAUUCUUGGAUGUGUGGUCUUCCACUGGAGUGUGGUUGACUUACCAGGGGCAACAUUCUUAAAGACAGCUGGCUCUCCCUCUCCCUGCAGCUAUCAACAGCCAAUAUGCUCCUUAGCUGGGGCACCUGUGGCAACUGUGUAUCUGAUUUCAUGAACAGAAGAAUGACCCGGAGGAUAGCCAGAGAAGCUCAUGAGUCCAGCUAGCCUGGAGCCAUAUCAAUGAUGGCAUAAUCAUCAGAUUUCCAAAAUCUAGGGCCAGCUUCCAGCUUUACUUCCAGAUUCUUACCAGGAUGGCGAUGCAUCUCCUUUUUCAGCUCGUCAAGCUUGUGGGCUAUGUGAGCUGUGUGUGUGACAAUCCAGCACAGGGUCACAGCAGCACUGAUCUGGCUUGCAUUGUUCCAUAUAGUCACUGGAGCAGUGAAGCCAGAUGCUUCCAUUCAUAGAUCAUUUCUGCUGUCACCAGCAAUGCUGCCACAUAGAAUAUCUUUGGCAGAAGCAUUCUUGUGUUUUAUUUAAUAAAUGUUGUUCUUUGGCAAUUCUCUGUACAUAUGUAAUGCAUUCUCAUCACUCCCCACCCCCCAGCACAACACUCCCUCUAUUAUUCCCUCUAUCCCCUUCCCCUUCCAGCCUCUCUUCUUCUUCCUUAGUCUCUUUCCCACAUUCAUGACAUUUUGCUUUGUUUUGUGUUCCACAUAGUAUCAUUGGGGCCAUCUGUGUG